AUCGGGAGCAGCAGAUUAACCAGCUGAACCACUCAAGUUCCAAUCAACGCAACGCAGCAAACGUCACACACGCGACGCAGAGAGGAGAAUAUCAGGUGCCUAAUUGAGCUCCAAGCAGGUACGAGAGAGUAGUUUGAAACGGCACAGCAAACGCUGGAAAGACCUCGCUCUGUGUUGUGCGAACCUGAGAGUCUACGAAGUCUGGAGAGGCAGCCGGUUUUUUUUUACCUAAUGGCUGAGUGACUAAUGAAAUGGCAAAUGGACAAAUGCUGCUAAACUGAAAAUAAAAAGAAAAGGAGAAGUGAAAACGUA